GUGCUCAACACAUGCAAGUCAACGAGAAAGGGGUAGCAAUAUCCCGAGUAAAGUGGCGCACGGGUGAGUAACACGUAGGCAAUCUGCCUUUAGGACGGGAAUAAUCCAGCGAAAGUUGGAUUAAUAUCCGAUGAUGCAGCGGCACCGCAUGGUGACAGUUGUUAAAGGCCCGCAAGGGCGCCUAUUGAUGAGCCUGCGUCUGAUUAGCUAGUUGGUGAGGUAACGGCCCACCAAGGCUACGAUCAGUAGCUGGUCUGAGAGGAUGAUCAGCCACACUGGAACUGAGACACGGUCCAGACUCCUACGGGAGGCAGCAGUGAGGAAUAUUGCGCAAUGGCCGAAAGGCUGACGCAGCGACGCCGCGUGAAGGAUGAAGUCCGUUAGGACGUAAACUUCUUUUGCAGGGGAUGAAUGUCCCGAUUCUGUCGGGAUUGACCGUACCCUGCGAAUAAGGAUCGGCUAAUUACGUUCCAGCAGCCGCGGUAAUACGUAGGAUCCGAGCGUUGUCCGGAAUUACUGGGUGUAAAGGGCGUGUAGGUGGGUCUCUAAGUCGGCGGUGAAAUCCUGCAGCUUAACUGUAGAAUUGCCGUUGAUACUGGAGGUCUUGAGUACGGCAGAGGGAGAUGGAAUUCAUGGUGUAGCGGUGAAAUGUGUAGAUAUCAUGAAGAACACCGGUAGCGAAGGCGGUCUCAUGGUCCGUAACUGACACUGAGGCGCGAAAGCGUGGGGAGCAAACAGGAUUAGAUACCCUGGUAGUCCACGCCGUAAACGUUGGGUGCUAGGUGUCGCGGGUAUUGACCCCUGCGGUGCCGCCGCUAACGCAUUAAGCACCCCGCCUGGGGAGUACGGUCGCAAGGCUAAAACUCAAAGGAAUUGACGG
rnacentral:rRNA from 1 species